rnacentral:rRNA from 1 species
UACGUAGGGUGCAAGCGUUAUCCGGAAUUAUUGGGCGUAAAGAGCUCGUAGGCGGUCUGUCGCGUCUGCUGUGAAAUCCCAGGGCUUAACCCUGGGCCUGCAGUGGGUACGGGCAAACUAGAGUGCGGUAGGGGAGAUCGGAAUUCCUGGUGUAGCGGUGAAAUGCGCAGAUAUCAGGAGGAACACCGGUGGCGAAGGCGGAUCUCUGGGCCGUAACUGACGCUGAGGAGCGAAAGCAUGGGUAGCGAACAGG